GAGGAUGGAUGGUGAUCUUUGGGAGAAGGUUCUUAACCCUGAGAAUGAAUAUAGAAGGCAGCUCAUCGAUCAAGUUGUAUCAACAGCCUUGCCAGAAAGCAAGAGUCCGGAGCAAGUUUCAGCUGCAGUUAAGGCUUUUAUGACAGCAGAUCUGCCACAUGAGUUGAUUGAACUUCUUGAGAAGAUCGUCCUUCAAAACUCUGCAUUUAGUGGAAACUUUAACCUGCAAAAUCUGCUUAUAUUGACAGCCAUCAAGGCAGAUCCUUCCAGAGUUAUGGACUACAUUAACAGACUAGAUAAUUUUGAUGGACCUGCAGUCGGUGAAGUGGCCGUUGAGGCACAGCUGUAUGAAG
rnacentral:misc_RNA from 1 species